GAUGAACGCUAGCUACAGGCUUAACACAUGCAAGUCGAGGGACCGGCGCACGGGUGAGUAACACGUAUCCAACCUUCCCUUUACUCGGGGAUAGCCUUUCGAAAGAAAGAUUAAUACCCGAUAUCAAGGAUGGGGAUGCGUUCCAUUAGGUUUUUGGUGAAGUAACGGCUAACCAAGCUGUCGAUGGAGAGGGGUUCUGAGAGGAAGGUCCACCACAUUGGAACUGAGACCCGGUCCAAAAUCCUACGGAAGGCAGCGGUAGGGAAUAUUGGUCAAUGGGAGCUAGACUGAACCAGCCAAGUAGCGUGAAGAAUGAAGGCUUAUUGGUCGUAAACUUCUUUUAUAUAAGAAUAUGUAUUAUAUGAAUAAGGAUCGGCUAACUCCGUGCCAGCCGCCGCGGUAAUUC
rnacentral:rRNA from 1 species